rnacentral:rRNA from 1 species
GAUGAACGCUGGCGGCGUGCUUAACACAUGCAAGUCGAACGGAAAGGCCCAAGCUUGCUUGGGUACUCGAGUGGCGAACGGGUGAGUAACACGUGGGUGAUCUGCCCUGCACUUCGGGAUAAGCCUGGGAAACUGGGUCUAAUACCGGAUAGGACGAUGGUUUGGAUGCCAUUGUGGAAAGUUUUUUCGGUGUGGGAUGAGCUCGCGGCCUAUCAGCUUGUUUGUGGGGUAAUGGCCUACCAAGGCGUCGACGGGUAGCCGGCCUGAGAGGGUGUACGGCCACACUGGGACUGAGAGACGGCCCAGACUCCUACGGGGGGGAGCAGUGGGGAAUAUUGCACAAUGGGGGCAAGCCUGAUGCAGCGACGCCGCGUGGGGGAUGACGGCCUUCGGGUUGUAAACUCCUCUCGCUAGGGACGAAGCGUGUUUGUGACGGUACCUGGAGAAGAAGCACCGGCUAACUACGUG